rnacentral:lncRNA from 1 species
AUUGGGAAAGGCACGCAGCAAGACAAGAAGCAGUGGCUGAGUGGUGACCUGUCAAUCAAACCAAGGUUCCAUUUGGAAUGUUACUGGGAAACAGUUGAAGGCAAAAGCCAACUGUGGCUGAACUCUGGACUUGACUUCUGCUGGUUGUCAUAUACCAGGGAUCUGGGGCACUCUUAUUCUUACCACGAGUCCAGCUCACGAAUUAAGUUCUCAGACUGACUCCCACCCUACACCUAAACAACUGAGGUCCCACACAUGCCGGUCUCCACUUCAAGCCCAGCCUUCCUUUUCUCUCGCUGCUGAACAACCAAAGCCGGUGAUUGGCUCCUCCCGCCUCGAAGUUCAAGAUCCUCCCGCUUCUCCUACAACUGGGAUGAGGAACAUUUGUAUGGCCAAGAGGUGACCGACUCUAGAAAGACGAAGGUAGUUUACGGAAGUUGUGCAAUGCAUCACUUCCGGGUACGCCCCGUUGGCUUCCAAGGUCUUCCGUGGGAAUUUACUGCGUCUGCGCCCAGCGGCUCCCUGCCAGAGAGUUAUUUCCCUAGUUAUUUCUUUAGUGCCAUACCAAUCAAACUACCAAAAAAUGAUUUCGUGGAAGUAGAAAAAACAACAACAAAAUUCAUCUGGAAGAACAAAAGAUCAUGGAAUAUCAAGGGAAUUAAUGGAAAGAAAAUGUAA